rnacentral:rRNA from 1 species
UACGGAGGAUCCAAGCGUUAUCCGGAAUUACUGGGCGUAAAGAGUUGCGGCGGUGGCAUUGUAAGUCUGUAGUGAAAGCGUGGGGCUCAACCCCAUACACAUUAUGGAAACUGCAAAGCUAGAGGACAAGAGAGGCAUCUGGAAUUCCUAGUGUAGGAGUGAAAUCCGUAGAUAUUAGGAGGAACACCGAUGGCGUAGGCAGGGUGCUGGCUUGUUCCUGACACUAAGGCACGAAAGCGUGGGGAGCAAACGGG